UCGGCCCCCUGGUCAAGGUGACGGGCAGCGCGGGUCACCCGCUUACCGAGAAGGCGCCCGAGUGGCCUGGUGAUGGAUGGUCAGGUCGGGCCCUCCGACGUCACGGGCCUCGUAGUGCUUGGGCCAUUCGAGCAGGAGGAUGGAUUCUCCGGGCUUACGCUGCAGUUUUUAAGAGAAGAUGGUGUCAAGGAGAGGACACUGCUGAGAUUCAGGUGAAGGUGUCAAGACUUUCCAUGCGCCGUCUUCUGUGAGGUGUUGGCGAUGAGAUGUGUCUCACAGCAUGGUUGAGAGGAUUAGGACAACAUCUCUCAAGCUCUAGAGUUGUAAAUGGCAACUGUAGUCUCCCAUGAGAUGGCUCUGGAAUGUCAUUCACUAGCAUCGUAUGCCAAAAA